rnacentral:rRNA from 1 species
CGCCUUGCCACGCCCGCUCAGAAACUCAAAGGAAUUGACGGGGGCCCGCACAAGCGGUGGAGUAUGUGGUUAAUUCGAUGCAACGCGAAGAACCUUACCUGGUCUUGACAUCCCGGAGACCCUUAGGAAACUAGGGGGUGCUUCCAUCUGGAAGAAUCUGGAGACAGGUGCUGCAUGGCUGUCGUCAGCUCGUGUCGUGAGAUGUUGGGUUAAGUCCCGCAACGAGCGCAACCCUUGCCUUUAGUUGCCAGCAGUUCGGCUGGGCACUCUAAAGGGACUGCCGGUGUUAAACCGGAGGAAGGUGGGGAUGACGUCAAGUCCUCAUGGCCUUUAUGACCAGGGCUACACACGUACUACAAUGGCCGAUACAAAGGGCAGCGACACUGCGAGGUGAAGCCAAUCCCGUAAAAUCGGUCUCAGUCCGGAUUGGAGUCUGCAACUCGACUCCAUGAAGUUGGAAUCGCUAGUAAUCGUGGAUCAGCAUGCCACGGUGAAUACGUUCCCGGGCCUU